rnacentral:sRNA from 1 species
UUAAACAAAAUUUUGGAAAUUGACUAGAGAAAAAUAUGUUUAGACAACAAAGUUUUAAACAAAAUCAUAAUUUUGGGUUCCCGCUAAGCAAUAAGGGAAUCCAGCCGCGCUCAUACGACAUAGUUGGUGGUGGCACCAAAUUCGUUUCUUACAUGAACUUGUCGAAUAACAUUCGCACAGUUCCAUCAUUAACAUUCUUCAACUCAAACACCGGAAGAUGAUGAGUGUAUCUAUGUAAGGAAGUUGAUGAUGUACAACUUCAGCGAUAUGCGGAAUCUCAGUUGCACUCAUGAGGUCAACGUAUUCGACAUGUCUCUUCAUUUGUUCACACCUCCACUGGCUCUGUGGAUCGACCAUUAGUAGGACGAGACCGUCAUGCUCAUUUUUCAAGUGUUUAUCAAGUUGAAAAUAAGUCUCCGAGGAAUUGCAAUCAUCGAGAGGACAAGACCUCAGUUUAGUCAUUUUGAUCAAAGAAUAAAUUACUAAAAUCACAUCUUUCAUCUUACUUUAAAUUUAGAUAUUACUGCGCCAACACUAGUCAAAAUUAGAUUGAAAAUUGCUAAAAAAACUCAUAGAUUUUGCUUAGUUUAAAUUUAGGGAUUCUGUCGCUGCCACUAGUCAAUAUAAAGUUAAUAAAUUACUUAGGAGUUUACAAAAUUUCAAU